rnacentral:tRNA from 1 species
UCCGAAAUAGUGCAACGGUAGCAUAUCUGCCCAUUAUCCAACUGGGGCGGUUUAAUGUGUAAGCAUUGACCCGCUUCAAUGUCACCGCAUUGAACAUACCCCGUUGGCGCGCAGGAGAUCAGGGUUCAAUUCCUUGUUUCGGGA